CCAGGCCUCCUAGCUGGUGAGCCGAGACACGGAAUGUGUUUGCCCAAGAAACACAAGCCAGGCAGCUCCACCGCAUCAACAAGCCGCUUUCCGCCCCGGACAGGGGCAACAGCUGCCCCAAACCUGGCUGUUUAUACACUAAAAAAAGAAAUUCCAUGGUGACCAGUUGGCUCAAGCCAGCGCCCUGCGGAAGGCCGGCGGUCGUUGCAAAGUAAUCCCCGGGCACCAGCAGCUCUCCACCCAGUCCUCGGCACGGGAUCUGCCGACGAUGAAAAAGCUACGCAUGGAUUUCCAAAUCUUUUUAUACCAAAGUAAAUUCUUCUUUGCGUUCUGUUUUCCGUGAA